GGGAGCUUGGCUCAGUUGGAAGAGCGCAGGUCUCAUACGUCUGUAUGACCCGGCUUCAAAAAGUCUGGGAUAUCCUGAGGUCGUGAGUUCGAGCCUCACAGUUCCCA